rnacentral:rRNA from 1 species
UACGUAGGGUGCGAGCGUUAAUCGGAAUUACUGGGCGUAAAGCGUGCGCAGGCGGUUUUGUAAGUCAGGUGUGAAAUCCCCGGGCUCAACCUGGGAACUGCGUUUGAAACUACAAGGCUAGAGUGUAGCAGAGGGGGGUGGAAUUCCACGUGUAGCAGUGAAAUGCGUAGAGAUGUGGAGGAACACCGAUGGCGAAGGCAGCCCCCUGGGUUAACACUGACGCUCAGGCACGAAAGCGUGGGGAGCAAACAGG